UUGCUGCGUUUGCUGGUGCUUUUCAAAGAGCCUCCACAAUGUGGUUAGCCAGCCACAUCCAGAUCAGUAGAAAAUACAAGCACAUCAGCAUAUUUGGAUAAUUUUAAUAGGUUAAGUCGGUAUCAACCGAACCAGCAUCUAUUCCACCAAAUCCAUGAGAUAUCCCUCAAGCAUCUAUCUGCAAGGCCUUCUCCCACCAUAUCACUGCCCUAACUGCUCAGCUGUGAUGUAUAUCAAGAGUAGAGAUGAUACAAAAUGAAUUCACCAGCUUAAUCUAAAACAAACAUCUGUAUUCUGUAUGCUCAGAAGUUGACAGGAGAAUACGA